CCAAACGAACGUAACCUUACCUGGGUUUUGACAUUGUGCGUUGUUACUGAGGUGAAAGCCGAGGGACCAUAUCUUCGGAUGUGGAGCGUACACAGGUGCUGCAUGGCUGUCGUCAGCUCGUGUCGUGAGAUUGUUGGGUUAAGUCCCGCAACGAGCGCCAACCCCUGCAUUCAGUUGCCAACGGUAAGGCCGGGCACUCUGGAUGGACUGCCGGCGACAAGCCGGAGGAAGGUGGGAUGACGUCAAGUCAUCAUGGCCCUUAUGUCCAGGGCGACACACGUGCUACAAUGGCCGGCACAGCGGGAAGCGAGGGGGCGACCUUGAGCGGAUCCCUCAAAGCCGGUCUCAGUUCGGAUUGCAGUCUGCAACUCGACUGCAUGAAGUUGGAAUCGCUAGUAAUCGUGGAUCAGCCAAGCCGCGGUGAAUACGUUCCCGGGCCUU
rnacentral:rRNA from 1 species